AUUGAACGCUGGCGGCAGGCCUAACACAUGCAAGUCGAGCGGAUGAAGGGAGCUUGCUCCUGGAUUCAGCGGCGGACGGGUGAGUAAUGCCUAGGAAUCUGCCUGGUAGUGGGGGAUAACGUCCGGAAACGGGCGCUAAUACCGCAUACGUCCUGAGAGAGAAAGUGGGGGAUCUUCGGACCUCACGCUAUCAGAUGAGCCUAGGUCGGAUUAGCCAGUUGGUGGGGUAAAGGCCUACCAAGGCGACGAUCCGUAACUGGUCUGAGAGGAUGAUCAGUCACACUGGAACUGAGACACGGUCCAGACUCCUACGGGAGGCAGCAGUGGGGAAUAUUGGACAAUGGGCGAAAGCCUGAUCCAGCCAUGCCGCGUGAGUGAAGAAGGUCUUCGGAUUGUAAAGCACUUUAAGUUGGGAGGAAGAGCAGUAAGUGAAUACCUUGCUGUUUUGACGUUACCAACAGAAUAAGCACCGGCUAACUUCGUG
rnacentral:rRNA from 1 species